GGUUAAGCGACUAAGCGUACACGGUGGAUGCCCUGGCAGUCAGAGGCGAUGAAGGACGUGCUAAUCUGCGAUAAGCGUCGGUAAGGUGAUAUGAACCGUUAUAACCGGCGAUUUCCGAAUGGGGAAACCCAGUGUGAUUCGUCACACUAUCAUUAACUGAAUCCAUAGGUUAAUGAGGCGAACCGGGGGAACUGAAACAUCUAAGUACCCCGAGGAAAAGAAAUCAACCGAGAUUCCCCCAGUAGCGGCGAGCGAACGGGGAGCAGCCCAGAGCCUGAAUCAGUGUGUGUGUUAGUGGAAGCGUCUGGAAAGGCGCGCGAUACAGGGUGACAGCCCCGUACACAAAAAUGCACAUAUUGUGAGCUCGAUGAGUAGGGCGGGACACGUGGUAUCCUGUCUGAAUAUGGGGGGACCAUCCUCCAAGGCUAAAUACUCCUGACUGACCGAUAGUGAACCAGUACCGUGAGGGAAAGGCGAAAAGAACCCCGGCGAGGGGAGUGAAAAAGAACCUGAAACCGUGUACGUACAAGCAGUGGGAGCACGCUUAGGCGUGUGACUGCGUACCUUUUGUAUAAUGGGUCAGCGACUUAUAUUCUGUAGCAAGGUUAACCGAAUAGGGGAGCCGAAGGGAAACCGAGUCUUAACUGGGCGUUAAGUUGCAGGGUAUAGACCCGAAACCCGGUGAUCUAGCCAUGGGCAGGUUGAAGGUUGGGUAACACUAACUGGAGGACCGAACCGACUAAUGUUGAAAAAUUAGCGGAUGACUUGUGGCUGGGGGUGAAAGGCCAAUCAAACCGGGAGAUAGCUGGUUCUCCCCGAAAGCUAUUUAGGUAGCGCCUCGUGAAUUCAUCUCCGGGGGUAGAGCACUGUUUCGGCAAGGGGGUCAUCCCGACUUACCAACCCGAUGCAAACUGCGAAUACCGGAGAAUGUUAUCACGGGAGACACACGGCGGGUGCUAACGUCCGUCGUGAAGAGGGAAACAACCCAGACCGCCAGCUAAGGUCCCAAAGUCAUGGUUAAGUGGGAAACGAUGUGGGAAGGCCCAGACAGCCAGGAUGUUGGCUUAGAAGCAGCCAUCAUUUAAAGAAAGCGUAAUAGCUCACUGGUCGAGUCGGCCUGCGCGGAAGAUGUAACGGGGCUAAACCAUGCACCGAAGCUGCGGCAGCGACGCUUAUGCGUUGUUGGGUAGGGGAGCGUUCUGUAAGCCUGCGAAGGUGUGCUGUGAGGCAUGCUGGAGGUAUCAGAAGUGCGAAUGCUGACAUAAGUAACGAUAAAGCGGGUGAAAAGCCCGCUCGCCGGAAGACCAAGGGUUCCUGUCCAACGUUAAUCGGGGCAGGGUGAGUCGACCCCUAAGGCGAGGCCGAAAGGCGUAGUCGAUGGGAAACAGGUUAAUAUUCCUGUACUUGGUGUUACUGCGAAGGGGGGACGGAGAAGGCUAUGUUGGCCGGGCGACGGUUGUCCCGGUUUAAGCGUGUAGGCUGGUUUUCCAGGCAAAUCCGGAAAAUCAAGGCUGAGGCGUGAUGACGAGGCACUACGGUGCUGAAGCAACAAAUGCCCUGCUUCCAGGAAAAGCCUCUAAGCAUCAGGUAACAUCAAAUCGUACCCCAAACCGACACAGGUGGUCAGGUAGAGAAUACCAAGGCGCUUGAGAGAACUCGGGUGAAGGAACUAGGCAAAAUGGUGCCGUAACUUCGGGAGAAGGCACGCUGAUAUGUAGGUGAAGUCCCUUGCGGAUGGAGCUGAAAUCAGUCGAAGAUACCAGCUGGCUGCAACUGUUUAUUAAAAACACAGCACUGUGCAAACACGAAAGUGGACGUAUACGGUGUGACGCCUGCCCGGUGCCGGAAGGUUAAUUGAUGGGGUCAGCGCAAGCGAAGCUCUUGAUCGAAGCCCCGGUAAACGGCGGCCGUAACUAUAACGGUCCUAAGGUAGCGAAAUUCCUUGUCGGGUAAGUUCCGACCUGCACGAAUGGCGUAAUGAUGGCCAGGCUGUCUCCACCCGAGACUCAGUGAAAUUGAACUCGCUGUGAAGAUGCAGUGUACCCGCGGCAAGACGGAAAGACCCCGUGAACCUUUACUAUAGCUUGACACUGAACAUUGAGCCUUGAUGUGUAGGAUAGGUGGGAGGCUUUGAAGUGUGGACGCCAGUCUGCAUGGAGCCGGCCUUGAAAUACCACCCUUUAAUGUUUGAUGUUCUAACGUGGACCCGUGAUCCGGGUUGCGGACAGUGUCUGGUGGGUAGUUUGACUGGGGCGGUCUCCUCCUAAAGAGUAACGGAGGAGCACGAAGGUUGGCUAAUCCUGGUCGGACAUCAGGAGGUUAGUGCAAUGGCAUAAGCCAGCUUGACUGCGAGCGUGACGGCGCGAGCAGGUGCGAAAGCAGGUCAUAGUGAUCCGGUGGUUCUGAAUGGAAGGGCCAUCGCUCAACGGAUAAAAGGUACUCCGGGGAUAACAGGCUGAUACCGCCCAAGAGUUCAUAUCGACGGCGGUGUUUGGCACCUCGAUGUCGGCUCAUCACAUCCUGGGGCUGAAGUAGGUCCCAAGGGUAUGGCUGUUCGCCAUUUAAAGUGGUACGCGAGCUGGGUUUAGAACGUCGUGAGACAGUUCGGUCCCUAUCUGCCGUGGGCGCUGGAGAACUGAGGGGGGCUGCUCCUAGUACGAGAGGACCGGAGUGGACGCAUCACUGGUGUUCGGGUUGUCAUGCCAAUGGCACUGCCCGGUAGCUAAAUGCGGAAGAGAUAAGUGCUGAAAGCAUCUAAGCACGAAACUUGCCCCGAGAUGAGUUCUCCCUGACCCUUUAAGGGUCCUGAAGGAACGUUGAAGACGACGACGUUGAUAGGCCGGGUGUGUAAGCGCAGCGAUGCGUUGAGCUAACCGGUACUAAUGAACCGUGAGGCUUAACCUU
rnacentral:rRNA from 1 species